rnacentral:rRNA from 1 species
GAUGAACGCUGGCGGCGUGCCUAAUACAUGCAAGUCGAGCGAACAGACGAGGAGCUUGCUCCUCUGACGUUAGCGGCGGACGGGUGAGUAACACGUGGAUAACCUACCUAUAAGACUGGGAUAACUUCGGGAAACCGGAGCUAAUACCGGAUAAUAUAUUGAACCGCAUGGUUCAAUAGUGAAAGACGGUUUUGCUGUCACUUAUAGAUGGAUCCGCGCCGCAUUAGCUAGUUGGUAAGGUAACGGCUUACCAAGGCAACGAUGCGUAGCCGACCUGAGAGGGUGAUCGGCCACACUGGAACUGAGACACGGUCCAGACUCCUACGGGAGGCAGCAGUAGGGAAUCUUCCGCAAAGGGCGAAAGCUUGACGGAGCAACGCCGCGUGAGUGAUGAAGGUCUUCGGAUCGUAAAAUUCUGUUAUUAGGGAAGAACAAAUGUGUAAGUAACUAUGCACGUCUUGACGGUACCUAAUCAGAAAGCCACGGCUAACUACGUG